rnacentral:misc_RNA from 1 species
UAAAAAAAUCAUCCUUCCCAAUGCUAAGAUUUUGAGAGCCAAGGUAAUCAUCAGUCAUGGGCCAUGGGCUCCAAAGUAAGGAACCUCCUCACAAUAUGUGCAUCUCAAGGAUUAUUUAUCAUUUCAGAUGUUCGUGAUAGCAGUUUUGUGGUUAAAAAUGAUGUAGAACUUGAUUGGCCAAAAAUUGAAAAUAUAGAUGAAGAAAAUGUCACUGAAAAUGAAUUAACACAACCAGGUUCAAUCCUUAAUCUUUCCUACAUACAUUAUUUUCAUUAUUUCCUUUUCCUAAUCCUAUCACUGUUAUUUUUGUUACUUUCCACUUUGUACAGAUCCUCUCACUGUUGUAAAAGAUGAAAAUACCAUUGCUGAAUAUGGGACUGUAUCUCAAGAUAAUCUUACAAGUUUUAUUGAUGAAGCAUGUCCACAAAAUAAUAAUUUUCCCCAACAAUUUUUGAGUAUGCCAGAUCUUGAUGAACCAAAUGAGGAAACAUCUGGUGUGGAAUUGUUAGCAGAAUUUAAUAUUGGUAGUGAAAUAGAUCAAGGUAUUAUAAUAAAGUCAAGCAAAAAAGAUACAGAAUGCAAUUCAUUGAACUGUGUCUUGCCUUCUGUAAGCAAUGAACAUAAUAUGGAUGAUAUUUCUAUGUUGGAGAAAAAUAAUGAGGACAUGAAUCACUAUAACAGUGAAUGGGACCAAAUGUUUAAUGAUAUGAUGUCUAAUAAAAGUUGUAGCCAAGAAGGA